UAGUUAGGGACCACUCAUCUCACCCUAACGUGAGUGGCAGAUGAGUGAGAGUUGGAUUUGAGAUGAGUAGCGUAUGAGUGGCGUUCUUGAAUCCGGGCCUAAGUGUUCGAGUAUAGUUUUCGUUGGUAAAGAAACCUUGGUUUGUUUUCGAAAUCUCAUCUAGGCUUUUGGCACCACAACUUGGAAACACUCUCUAAUUGGUCAUGGAAUUUACGAGGAUUUACUGGCAUAUACGCUUUGAAAGCGUUCUUUUCGUCAAAAAAACUUUGGUAUUAACCGAGUUUUAGGAAAGUAAUCAAGACAAUUCCCUGGGGAGUAUUCUGCAACAACCUUAAGCUCAAGGUGUAUUCCAAUUAAUUGAUUUUCAAAAUCUACAGCGCCCGGUGAAGCUAAAACGUUAUGUAAGAAGAUAUAAGUAUGAUCGUCGACUCAAG
rnacentral:lncRNA from 1 species